AGAGUUUUGGCCUCAGCCGUUUGACUCUAAUCAGGAAAUCAUUUUUAGAAAGAUUUGUCAGUGUAAGAAAACAAGCUCCUGAACUAAAUUAGGAUCUGGAUUAUUUUUCCCUCCUCUCUCGAUCUGCAGUGCAAGGCAGAGUGGUGAGCCAUCACGGUUUUGUGUGUGGUGAAUUUGUUUCCACUGCACAUUUUAAUUCGGAGCUCCUGAAGGUGUCUGUGUUUGUAAGGACUGUGUUUUUGGAGCUGCUCCCUCGGAGUAAUGAAUUCACGGCAUGUCUCUGGGAAAUUAAGAUUCAGCCAUGUCUUCCUAGGAUCCAGCAUCCAAACCUGGACCAAAGUCCUCGGAUCCUCAGCAAUGGGGGUGCAUCUGGUGAUGGUGUUCAUGCUAAAUUUGUGCCAAGAGACACCUGUACUUGUGGGAGAAUUAAUAUUUCACUUCUGUUUAGGUUUCUUUUCUGGGAGCUGCUAUCACUGAAUACAUAAAGAAAUUGAGCCUAUAUGAUUUCAAUCUUCACCUUCUGAUGCUGAUGAAACAGGAUUCUAUGCAGAGAAAAUCCUCUCCAGUCAAGUAAUUGCAUCCAUUUCAUCUUCCCAGCCCUCCUCUAGAUGGGAGGUGGAGGUGUGUGUACCAAUCUCUUAAUUCAGAAAUGAGACAAGAGGAGGAAAAAGGAGUUCCGGAGGACAGUGGGGACCCCAGCCAGAGCCUGGGGACUUGGCUGCCUUGGAACCAGAACCUGGCCCCUCAGAGGAGUUGCAGAAUUUCGAUAGAGGAGUGGCAGGAGGUGUACUGGCUGAAGAGGAGGCCCAAGGAACUCCUUUUCAUACAUCAAAACUGAGCUUAUCACCUCUACCCUGAAGUCAUCCUGGACAUCACUGGUCCCAGUUAAUCACUCACUUAUCUUUGCCAUCCUUGACCUGGGAAGAGAACGUUGCCCUCAUUGGUCUGGAAUCAGCAGGUACCUCAUGGCUGGAGGUGUAUUUUCAGGUGGGUUGGGACUUUGAAGAGGUGGCUUUUCCUAUGGACCCCUCUGACUCCCCACCUGUGGGCAUGACACAGGUGACCUGGCUGCCAGGGCAGAGGCUGCUUAGCCCUGCUCCAGAGAAACAGAGCUCUGAGGGCUUCCAGAAACCAGGGCUCCUGGCUCCUCAGUCCUUCCCACUCCUCUCUUCCUACUCCCGUGCUGCAUAUAAACUUUUCUUUUUUUUUCAGAUGGAGUCUCACUCUGUCACUCAGGCUGGAGUGCAGUGGUGCGAUCUCAGCUUACUGCAACCUCCGCCUCCCGGGUUCAAGUGAUUCUCCUGCCUCAGCUUCCCCAGUAGCAGGGACUACAGGACCACAGGUGUAUGCCAUUAUGCUCGGCUAAUUUUUGUAUUUUUAGUAGAGACAGGGUCUCACCAUGUUGGCCAGGCUGGUCUCGAGCUCCUGACCUCAGGUGAUCACACGCCUUGGCCUCCCAAAAUGCUGGGAUUACAGGCAUGAGCCACUGCACUUGGCCUGCAUAUAAACUUUUUGAGUUUCCUGCUUUUGACAUGAGCAUGGAUAUUUAUCACUUCUAGAGGCAUUAGGAGAACUCAAGUCCAAGUGCUCAGAGACCUACAGUGCAGCUUAAGACCCUGUCACAGGAAUCUUCGGGGUGGGGGCAUGCACGGGAGUUAUAGAGAGUUGGGGAAGGAUGAGUUCUCAACCAAUGCUUUCCUUUUUUCCACAGACUCCUUUGGCAUCUGGUGAGGCCUGUGGAUUCAUUCUCAGAAUCACAUUUUUAAAUGCACAUAAUAAAAUACAUAGAAUUGCAAAGGAAGUUAAUUAUAUUGAAAUACAGUUAUCAAAAAUAUAAAUAAAACAAGUAUGUGGUACAGUCAUAUGUGUGCUUCUUUAUUAAGUCAUUACAAAGCAAGAUCUAUUUGGAGGUCUAAUAACUGUCAUAUGCUUGAAAAAAUCCUUAACAAUCAUAAUAUAUUAAAAAAUCUGAUUUCUACUUUGGCAAAUCAUAGAUAUUGCUGAAACUGUGGUUUAUUGCCUGCAUUCAUAAUUGAAGGAAAUGCUAGAGUUCAGUGAGAAGGUUGUGAAAAUAAAGAGAGCCUUUUUUUCUCAUCAAG
rnacentral:lncRNA from 10 species